GGGCAGGUACCCAAGUGGCCAAAGGGGGCUGACUGUAAAUCAGCUGGCUAAGCCUUCGGUGGUUCAAAUCCGCCCCUGCCCA
rnacentral:tRNA from 2 species